ACAGAGGUCCCAAGCGUUGUUCGGAUUCAUUGGGCGUAAAGGGUGCGUAGGCGGCGAGGCAAGUCUGGUGUGAAAUCCCGGGGCUCAACCCCGGAACUGCCUUUAAGACUGCAUCGCUAGAAUCAUGGAGAGGUGAGCGGAAUUCCCGGUGUAGAGGUGAAAUUCGUAGAUAUCGGGAGGAACACCGGUGGCGAAGGCGGCGACCUGGGUGGAAACUGACGCUGAGGCGCGAAAGCGUGGGGAGCAAACAGGA
rnacentral:rRNA from 1 species